rnacentral:rRNA from 1 species
AACGAACGCUGGCGGCAGGCCUAACACAUGCAAGUCGAGCGAGGACUUCGGUCCUAGCGGCGGACGGGUGAGUAACGCGUGGGAACGUGCCCUUUGCUUCGGAAUAGCCCUGGGAAACUGGGAGUAAUACCGGAUGAGCCCUUUGGGGGAAAGAUUUAUCGGCGAAGGAUCGGCCCGCGUUGGAUUAGGUAGUUGGUGGGGUAAUGGCCUACCAAGCCGACGAUCCAUAGCUGGUAUGAGAGGAUGAUCAGCCACUCUGGUACUGAGACGCGGCCCAGACUCCUACGGGCGGCAGCAGAGGGGAAUCUUAGACAAUGGGGGGAACCCUGAUCGAGCCAUGCCGCGAGAAAGAUGAAGUCCUUAGGGUUGUAAGGCUCUUUCAACUGGGAAGAUAAUGACGGUACCAACAGAAGAAGCCCCGGCUAACUCCGUG